rnacentral:rRNA from 1 species
CAGGGAAUUUUGGGCAAUGGGCGAAAGCCUGACCCAGCGACGUCGCGUGGGGGAUGAAGGCCUUUGGGCUGUAAACCCCUUUUCCAAGGGAAGAGAAAGGACGGUACCUUGGGAAUAAGCUCCGGCUAACUACGUG